GUUUUUCUCCCCAAUGAGGAACCCAUCCAAGAGCAACUAGGGGUUUUUGAAAGACAGAGACUUACUAUCAGUGAAGAUGCCCUUUCACGGUUAAAGUUUCUCAACAAGUCUCUGCCUCAGUCCAAAUGUGGGGAAAAAUGUCAUCCUGGAUUUGUCAAGAGGGCUCGAGAAGGAGAGCCAGUUUGCUGCUAUGACUGUGUUCCUUGUCCGGAGGGAACCAUCUCCACUCAGGAAGGAACAUAAGAGGACUUUGAAAUUUGAAGAACUGUCUCAAGUCAACCUCUUGAAAAGAUUAUUCUCAUGCAUUCCA